ACCCAAUAGAUACCCGGGUAGUCCACGCCGUAAACGGUGGGCACUAGGUGUGGCGGGUGUUGACCCCCGCCGUGCCGAAAGCUAAACGCAUUAAAGUGCCCCGCCUGGGGAGUACGGCCGCAAGGUUAAAACUCAAAGGAAUUGACGGGGCCCGCACAGGCGGUGGAGCAUGUGGUUUAAUUCGACGCAACGCGAAGAACCUUACCUGGGUUUGACAUCCCCUGACCGCCGCAGAGAUGCGGUUUUCCCUUCGGGGACAGGGAGACAGGUGCUGCAUGGCUGUCGUCAGCUCGUGUCGUGAGAUGUUGGGUUAAGUCCCGCAACGAGCGCAACCCUCGCCCUUAGUUGCCACCGGUUCGGCCGGGCACUUUAGGGGGGACUGCCUCGGUUAACGAGGAGGAAGGCGGGGAUGACGUCAAGUCCUCAUGGCCCUUAUGCCCAGGGCUACACACGUGCUACAAUGGCUGGCACAAAGGGAUGCUAACCCGCGAGGGGGAGCCAAUCCCAAAAAGCCGGUCUCAGUU
rnacentral:rRNA from 1 species